CUGUUGAUUGCUGAAAGGGACUUGGACGGAGUCCUCACCAGCUUUUCUCGUUCUUUGAAAAUCAACAUGGCGGCUGCAAUUGGAGUUCAUCUUGGAUACACUUGUGCUUCCUUGGCCAUUUACAAGGACGGGAGAACAGAAGUCAUUGCUAAUGAUGCAGGAGAUCGGGUCACUCCGGUGCUUGUGGCGUGUUCUGGAAAAGACAUGUCCAUUGGUCUUCCUGCUAAACAUGGCCUUAUUCGAAAUGCCAAGAACACAAUGGCAAGAGCAAGCAAGAUUAUUGGGCUGAGAUUUUCUGAUAAUGCAGUUCAAGAAGAAGUCCAGGUAUCUGAUUGUCAGAUUAUUGAUAAAGAUGGAGAACCCUUCUUUGAGUUGGAGUUAAAUGACAAAAAGACACUUUUCUCCCCUAAAGAAGUUGUCAGGAUGAUAUUUCAAAAACUGUUAGAAAUUGCUCAGGCCAAUGGUGGAAAUGAUAUUGAAGAAGCUGUGAUCACUAUACCUUUACACUUCAAUGAUGAACAAAGAGCAGCCAUAAGGGAGGCAGCAGAAGAUGCUGGCUUUGAUGUGCUUCGGGUCAUCAGUCAACCUGCUGCAGCAGCUCUGGCUUAUGACAUUGGACAAAGUGACCGGGCUACUGUGAGGACAGUACUUGUGUACAGACUUGGAGGAACAACCCUUGAUGUCACUGUUUUGGCUGUCAAUGGUGGAAUGUACAGAGUUGUAUCCACAGAACAUGACACAACUUUAGGUGGAAUAAAAUUUGAUGAGUUGUUAUCACAACAUCUUGCUGCUGAGUUUCAAAGGCAAUGGAAACAAGAUGUCAGAGGCAAUGCCAGAGCAAUGGCCAAACUAAUGGCAGGCGCUGAAAAUUGUAAACAUAUUCUGUCUUCCAGAGAUACAGCGACCUGUGCUAUUGAGUCUCUUUAUGAUGGGAUUGACAUGCAAAGUACAGUGUCAAGGGCUCGGUUUGAGUCUCUCUGCUUCAGUUUAUUCCAACAAAGCCUUUCUGCUAUUGAUAGAGUUCUUGCAACAUCAAAUGUUGCCAAAGACAAAGUAGACCAGGUUAUCUUAGUGGGUGGUUCAACUCGUAUUCCCAGAAUCAAGCAGCUUGUUCAGGAGUAUUUCGGGGGAAAAGAAGUUUGUCAAUCCAUUGAUCCUGACAGUGUGUUAGCACAUGGAGCGGCCAUUCAGGCAUCUUUGCUUCAAGGGAGAGAAGAGCAAUUCAAUAAUGAGUUAGAAGUGGAAUGUACAUCAAAAGCAAUCAGUGUGAUGAUCCCCAUCUAAAAUCAGCAUUCUCUUCUGACCGGGAAAGGACUUUUCGAUGUGAGAUUUAGAGCUUAGUGAGACUGUUUGUUUAUGUGUAUAUGAAGUUAAUGAUGACACACCUAACGACCCUGGAAAGAC
rnacentral:misc_RNA from 1 species